rnacentral:snRNA from 1 species
GUCUUGCUUCAGCAACACAUAGACUAAAAUUGGAACGAUACAGAGAAGAUUAGCAUGGCCCCUGCACAAGGAUGACACACAAAUUCGUGAACCAUUCCAUAUUUAA